rnacentral:rRNA from 1 species
GAUGAACGCUGGCGGCGUGCCUAAUACAUGCAAGUCGAGCGAACAGACGAGGAGCUUGCUCCUCUGACGUUAGCGGCGGACGGGUGAGUAACACGUGGAUAACCUACCUAUAAGACUGGGAUAACUUCGGGAAACCGGAGCUAAUACCGGAUAAUAUAUUGAACCGCAUGGUUCAAUAGUGAAAGACGGUUUUGCUGUCACUUAUAGAUGGAUCCGCGCCGCAUUAGCUAGUUGGUAAGGUAACGGCUUACCAAGGCAACGAUGCGUAGCCGACCUGAGAGGGUGAUCGGCCACACUGAAACUGAGACACGGUCCAGACUCCUACGGGAGGCAGCAGUAGGGAAUCUUCCGCAAUGGGCGAAAGCCUGACGGAGCAACGCCGCGUGAGUGAUGAAGGUCUUCGGAUCGUAAACUCUGUUACUAGGGAAGAACAAAUGUGUAAGUAACUAUGCACGUCUUGACGGUACCUAAUCAGAAAGCCACGGCUAACUACGUG